UACGUAGGGGGCUAGCGUUGUCCGGAAUCAUUGGGCGUAAAGCGCGUGUAGGCGGUUCGGUAAGUCCGCUGUGAAAGUCGGGGGCUCAACCCUCGGAUGCCGGUGGAUACUGUCGGACUAGAGUACGGAAGAGGCGAGUGGAAUUCCUGGUGUAGCGGUGAAAUGCGCAGAUAUCAGGAGGAACACCAAUAGCGAAGGCAGCUCGCUGGGACGGUAUUGACGCUGAGGCGCGAAAGCGUGGGGAGCAAACAGG
rnacentral:rRNA from 1 species